rnacentral:rRNA from 1 species
UCGCACCUACCGAUUGAAUGGUUCGGUGAAAAAUUCAGACUGCGACCCCGACUCCUUAAUUGGUGACGGGGCUGCGGGAAGAUUUUUAAACCUCAUCAUUUAGAGGAAGGUG